rnacentral:lncRNA from 1 species
AGAAAGAAAGAAAGAAAGAAAGAAAGAAAGAAAGAAAGAGUAGGGUGGUUGAGGAAGACACCCCAUGUCCACCUCUGGUUUCACACAUGCAUAUGCACCUGCACUCACAUAGUGUUUCUAAAGCAAACAAACAAACAGGCAGGCAGGCAGGCUGGCAGGCAGAGAGACAGACAGACAAUCAAACAGGAACCCAGGUAUGGUUGGUUAACAGCCCUGGAGGCUGGAAAUUAGGAUUCAGGCUUAGCUCAAAUUGUUAGUAGGGUGACACCCAGACACCCUUGGAACUGUGAUUCCUAGCUGCUUGAUUCCUGCUCCUGAGCUGAGCACCCCUCCUCGUCUCCUAGCCCACUUCAGAGCUGUAGCAAGCCAGGUGCCUUCGUGCUGCUGUGGCUUUCUGCUCCACAGUCAGCUCCACCCUGGCCUCCUUCUGACUAGCUGGAGACCAGUUGUCGUCUCCUCUCACGGACUUGACUUCACCUGCUCUGCAGCCUUCUGGACAAGUGAAGGGCGACACCCUUCCUGCAGGGACCAGGAUCUGGGUGUAUCUGGGACCACAGCUUGGCUACUGCACUGCACUGAGUCAGAAGCAGACUGUCUUCUCUGGUCAGGGCACAGGUUGCUCCCCCAAAUAAAGAGAACGGCUUCCUUUUUCCUUUUCAACUCUCAGUGCAUCUCAAAAGCAGUGAGAAGGCACCAGUUCACCUCCUCACUCAUUAGCUUGAGAGGACCUAUUCAGGAGGGAUAGAGGGACUCCCCGAGGAGAGGAAACCCUUGGCCAGGUCUUAAAGAGCAAGAGCAUACUCUUUUAUCUUAACAAAACCCAGUGAGCAGAGCCUGUAUCUUACAGAGGAAAAUCUGAGGGUCAUAGAUGUAACCCAGCUAGGCUUCAAUGGCUGGUAAAGACAGAGCCCGCCCCUCCCAGUGGAUCAGGGUCUGAGAUGGAGGUGAAGGCCACUGGCUGGUCUGGCUGGUCUUAGAGGUGUUAGAUAGAGGGAUAUCUCCGGCUAACGUUACCUAGCAUGAAGGCAAGGCUAGCACUGAACAGGAGAAGGAAACUUCUCGUCUUGUGGUUCUUCUGGUGGGGGCAUCCUGCUUAUGUCACUUCCUUUGUUUGCAGUCAGGGUUUGUCCCCUCCUGGCUAGGCACAGUCUCUAGAGUCUCGUCAUGCAGCACGAAGCCCUGCAUGGCUCAGCCACUCCGUGUCAGUCCUACAGGCUGUUCCCAGCAUCUCCUGUGCAAGCGCAAGCCACACAGACAUGACCAUGGUUUCUGUUUUUAUCACAGACACCUUUUGACUCUCAGUCAUUUCCUUAGGAGAUGUGUGCAAGUUUGGAGCCAGAAUGGGAGGCAACAGUGAAUAGGGUUAAAAGUCAGCCUAGAAUCCACAAUUCUGUGCUACCCUGGGAAAUAAUUGCUUCUCAGGUCCUCAGUUUUCUCUUGUGUGAAAUAUAUGACCUGAAGGAUGCUUAAGUUGCAACCACUGGUCUGAUGGUAGAAAAAGAAAAGAAAAGAAAAGAAAAGAAAAGAAAAGAAAAGAAAAGAAAAGAAAAGAAAAGAAAAGAAAAGAAAAAUAGAAGCUCCUGGCUGGUCGGCCUCCCCUCAGUGUCUCUCGCUCAUCAUGUAGGGCUGAGAAACACAUAGGAUUGAAUUUUGUGGUAAGUGAUGCUGGUGUGUGUGUGUGUGUGUGUGUGUGUGUGUGUGUAUACACACGUAUGUAGUAUGGUUAUCCAUGCAACAUCCAUCUGCAUCCAUGGAGAGGCCCAGACAGGACAUGAGCGUGUCUUCCUCCAUAACUCUCCACCUAAUUGCCUGGAAGCUCACAUCUUGCCUAGGCAGGAUGAGCAAUAAAGUCCUAAGGUCUGUCUGUCUCUGUUACAGGGAUGGCUUUUAUGUGGGUGCUGGGGGAUUUGAACUAAGGUCCUCAUGUUCACUGAACAAACGCUCUUCCCAGCUAAGCUAUCUUCCCACUAAGCUAUCUUCCCAGCCCUUUGAGGUAGGACAGAGACUCUCUAAUGAGAUAGAUAUGACUGGGUUGGUGGCUCAACCUGGCCAUCCAGUGGCAGGAAAGCGGGAAGUGAAUCACCAUGACUUUGAGACCAGUCUGGGCUACGUAGCUUAAGUCCUAGCUGAUGAAGUAUGUGGGCGGUUGACAAUGAAACCCUUAGACGGGCGGCUGAACAGGAGUGGUGGUGGUGGGGUUUACAUGGUGGCUUGGACACUCAGUCUUUACUUUCUAUCCUGAGUGUCUCCUGCUUCUC